AAUGGGCGCAAGCCUGAUCCAGCAAUGCCGCGUGUGUGAAGAAGGCCUGCGGGUUGUAAAGCACUUUCAGUGGGGAAGAACGGAUGCGGGCCAAUACCCCGGAUCACUGACGUUACCCACAGAAGCAGCACCGGCUAACUACGUGCCAGCAGCCGCGGUAAUACGUAGGGUGCGAGCGUUAAUCGGAAUUACUGGGCGNAAAGCGUGCGCAGGCGGCNCACUAAGACAGAGGUGAAAUCCCCGGGCUUAACCUGGGAACUGCGUUUGUGACUGGUGGGCUUGAGUGCGGCAGAGGGGGGUGGAAUUCCACGUGUAGCAGUGAAAUGCGUAGAGAUGUGGAGGAACACCGAUGGCGAAGGCAGCCCCCUGGGUCGACACUGACGCUCAUGCACGAAAGCGUGGGGAGCAAA
rnacentral:rRNA from 1 species